rnacentral:rRNA from 1 species
CUAUGCGCCUUGCCCAGCCCGCUCAGGUGUGCCAGCCGCCGCGGUAAUACGUAGGUGGCAAGCGUUGUCCGGAUCUACUGGGUGUAAAGGGCGUGUAGCCGGGCUGACAAGUCAGAUGUGAAAUCCGGGGCUCAACCCCCGAACUGCAUUUGAAACUGUUGGUCUUGAGUAUCGGAGAGGCAGGCGGAAUUCCUAGUGUAGCGGUGAAAUGCGUAGAUAUUAGGAGGAACACCAGUGGCGAAGGCGGCCUGCUGGACGACAACUGACGGUGAGCGCGAAAGCGUGGGAGCAAACAGG